CCUGAACCUGGUAGGUCGAGGCUGCAGUGAGCCAUGAUCAUGUCACUGCACUCCAGCCUGGGUAAUAAGGUGAGACCCUGUCUCAAAAAAAAAAAAAAAUACAGGCUGAGCAAGGUGCCUCAUGCCUGUAAUUCCAGCACUUUGGGAGGCCGAGGCAGGUGGAUUGCUUGAGGCCAAGAGUUCGAGACCAGCCUGGCCAACAUGGCAAAACCCCAUCUCUACUAAAAAUACAAAAAUUAGCUGGGUGUGGUGUCACACGCCUGUGAUCCCAGCUACUUGGGAGGCGGAGACACGAAAAUCACUUGAACUUGGGAGGCGGAGGUUGCAGUGAGCUGUGAUUGUACCACUGCACUCUAGCCUGGGCGACAGAGCAAGACUCUGUCUCAAAAAAAAAAAAAAUACAAUAACUGUAAUGAAAAAUUCACUGGAGAUGUUCAACAUCAGAUUUCAACAGGCAGAAAAAUCAAUUAACUUGUUAGGUCAAUUGAGAUUAUCUAGUCUGGAGAGUAGGAAAAAAAGAAUGAAGAAAGAUAAACAGAGCCUAAGGGACAUGUCAGAUACCAUUAAGGUUACUAAUAUAUAUAGCCCAAGAAGAGGGCCCCAGGAAAAGAAGAGAGCAAGAAAGGGGUAGAGAAAAUAUCUGAAGAAAUAAUGACCAUGAACUUCCAAAAUUUGAGGAAAGACAUGAGUCUACACAUCCAAGAAGCUCAAGAAGUUCAAGAAGGAUAAACUCAAAAAAAUCCACAGAGACACACAUUUUAAUAAAACUGCCAAAAGCCAAAGGCAAAGAGACAAUCUUGAAAACACACAAACAAAACAAAGUGAGUCAAAACAUAAAAGGGAUUUUCCAUAAUAUUGACAGCCAAUUUUUCAUCAGAGAUCACAGAGUCAGAAGGCAAUUAGAUAACAUAUUUAAAGUGCUGAAAGAAAAAAAAUCAAACAAGAAUUCUAUAUCCAGCAAAACUAUACUUUAAAAAUGAAGAAGAGGCUGGGUGCGGUGGCCCACACCUGUAAUCCCAGCACUUUGGGAGGCAAAGGCAGGCAGAUCACUUGAGGCCAGGAGUUUGAGAGCAGCUCGGCCAACAUAGAGAAACCCCAUCUCUACUAAAAGUACAAAAAAAUUAGCCAGGCAUGGUGGCACACACCUGUAAUCCCAGCUACUCAGGAGCCGAGGCAUGAGAAUCGUUUGAUCCUGGGAGGUGGAGGUUGCAGUGAGCUGAGAUUAUGCCACUGCCCUUCAGUCUAGGCCACAGAGUGAGACUCCGUCUCAAGAAAAAAAAAAAAAAAAAGAAAAAAGAAAAAAAUGACUUCAGUUUCCAGUCCAGUCUGUGAGGAGCUUAGAAGUUGUCACUUUGUCUUAAUAACAAUUAAAAAGUAGGCUGGGCACUGUGGCUCAAGCCUGUAAUCCCAGCACUUUGGGAGGCCGAGGCGGGAGGAUCACCUGAGGUCAGGAAUUCGAGACCAGCCUGGCCAACAUGGUGAAACCCCAUCUCUACUAAAAAAUACAAAAAUUAGCCGAGCAUGGUGGCAGGUGCAUUAAUUCCAGCUACUUGGGAGGCAGAGGCAGGAGAAUCAUUUGAACCCAGGUGGUGGAGGUUGCAGUGAGCCAAGAUCGGGCCAUUGCACUCAAGCCUGGGGGACAAAAGCAAGGCUUCUCAAAAAAAAAAAAUUAAAAAAUAGAACAUACUAAAAACCAACAAUUCUUAGGUUCCUCAGAGAAUUGAGGUCAUGGGGCAAAAUGCUGCCCCCAAAUUGGAAAGACUGGCAGAUAUAGAUUAUGGUUUUCUGGAGCAGAAACCCUCACACUGAAACCUUCAUGUGAACCAGCAACCAUGGGUAGGAAAAGUUAAACUUUAAUUGGUGAAUUGCUGGAGUUUCAAUGAGAAAAUUCAACGAGAAUUUUUAAUUCUCAAACUUGUCCACAUUGAAACCUCAGUUUAGGGGGACCCUACACUUUCACUAGUCUUACCUCAAGGAGCCUUACCAGAGUCUCACAGUUAAAAUUGAAGAAAAAUCCCUGUCUGAUUUCUAUAAGGGAAGGAUGAAAAUAGUCAUUUUGAAAUAUGCCCAGAGUAUUCUGUUCUUCAUAACAAGUCCUGCCUUCAAGAGAAAAUAUUUCACUGGAAUAUAACCUACGAAAAUUUUAUAAGAGCCUGACUGGCCUGGGGAGAGAGAAAUACCCAACACCAUAACCCUUCGGCCUUUCUGACCUGCAGAGGUAAGGAAAAACCUGAGAGGCACUUGGAAAGGUCACAGUCCAUGGGAAGAAUUUCACUAAAAGACUGAGAUCUAAUCAUAGGUCUAUAGAAUGAUUCACCUCCCCUCACAUCUUACCACCAAAUCACUCAAGGGCUAUUUACACACAAGUUUUUUACAGAGUACAUCAUCUCCAGCUUUCAGUAAAAAAUUAUGUCAUACUAAAAGGCAAAAAUCCCUGCAGUUUAAAGAUACAGUGCAAGCAUCAGAACCAGACUCAGAUAUGAAAAUUUUAAAUAACUGUAAUUAACAUGCUAAGGGCUCUAAUGGACAAAGUAAACAUGCAAAAACAGAUGAGUAAUGUAACCAAAGAUUAAAAUCUAGGAAUGAAUAAAAAAGGAAUGCUAGAAACAAAAAAUACUGUAAUAGAAGUGAAUAAUGCAUUUGAUGGGUCAGUAGUAGACUGGACAUGACUGAGGAAUCAGUGAGCUUGAGGAUAUGGUAAUAGAAAUUUUCCAAACUAAAAAACAAAGAGAAAAAAAUAAUGAAAAACAACACAGAACAGAAUACCUAAGGACUGUGGGACAACUAUAAAGGGUGUACAUAUGCAUAAUGAGGAUACAAAAAUGAAGAGAAAGAGAGAAAGAAACAGGAGAAAUAUCUGAAGCAAUAGUGACUAAACAUUCCCCCAAAUUAGUGUAAGAUACCAAACUCCACCCUAGGAAGCUCAGAGAAUACCAAGCCAGAUAAAUGCCCAAAAAUCUACAUGUAGGCAUAUAACAUUCAAACCGCAGAAAAUCAACCACUGAAAAAUGUUUUUAAAAGAAUCUUUACCCACAGGAGAAUAAGGAUAAGAAUUACCUUAGACUUUUCUUCAGAAACCAUGCAAGAACAGAGUGGGAUAAAAUAUUUAAAGUGCUGAGAAAAAAAAAUCAACCUCAAAUUCUGUAUCCAAUAAAAUUAUUCUUCAUAACUGAAAGAGAAAUAAAGACUUUCUCAGAAAAACAAAAAUUGAGGGAAUUUGUUGCUGAUAAACCUUCCUUGGAAGAAAAGAAAUUCAGAAGAACAAAAAUUAUAUAGGUUAUAAAUUUGGAUCUACAUAAACAAAGGAAGAACAUUAGAGAGGGAAUAAGUGAUAUUAAAAUAAAAACUUUUCUUUUUCUUAUUCUUAAUUGAUCUAACAAAAACUUUGUUCACAAUAAUAGCAAAAAUGUUCACAAUAUUUAUUCUUUAUGCGUAAGUGAAACGAAUGACAACAAUGAUACAAGGGAUUGGGGAAAGAAUUAGGAAUCCUUUUUAUAAGGUAUUUACACUACCCAUGAAGUGGUAUAGUAUUAUUUGAAUGAGGACUUUGAUUAGUUGUAAAUGUAUAUUGUAAACUGUAGGGUAACCAUUAAAAAUUUUUUAAAAAGAAAUAUAAUUGAUAUACUAAGAAAGGAGCAAAAAUUGAAUAGUAUAAAAUGCUCAGUUAAAACUAUCAAAGGCAGAAAAAUACUGGAAGACAAAAAUAGAAACAAAGAACGAGGGGAACAAACUAAAAAUAGUAACAAAUAUCAUAAAUAUUAAUCCAGCUAUAUAGCAAUAAUCACUUUAAUCAUCACAACAGCCAGGUGCAGUAACAUGUGCCUGUAGUCCCAGCUACUUGGGAGGCUGAGGCAGGAGGAUCCCUUGAGCCCAGGAGUUCUGAGCUAUAGUGUGCUCAGUGAUUGAAUGUCUGAACUAAGUUUGCUAUCAAUAUGGUGACCUCCCAGGAGUAGGGGGCCACCAGAUUGCCUAAGGACGGAUGAAAUGACCCAGGCUGGAAAUGGAGGGGGUCAAAACUACUGUACCGAUCAGUACUGGGAUUGCACCUGUGAACAGCAAAUGCACUCCAGCCUGGGCAACAUAACAAGACCCCAGCUCUUAAAUAAAUAAAUAAAUAAACAAACAAAUGAACAAACAAAUAUCAUCACAACAAUGAGACUUAGAGUGCACAAAGAAAAACAAGACCCAACUAUAUGUUGUCUACAAGAAAUCCACCUCAAACAUAAAGACAGACAAAUUAAAAAUAAAGGAAUAGAGAAAGAUAUAUCAUGCUAAAAUUAAUAAAAAGAAAUCUGGAAUAUCUACAUUAAUUUCAGACACAGCUGACUUCAAAGCAAGGGACAAAGGACAUUAUCAGGAAUAAUGAGAGGCAUUACAGAAUGAUAAAGGGUGAUAAAGGGGUCAAUUCUCCAAGAAGAAAUAAUAGUCCUUGAUGUGUAUAUGCCUAACAGCAGAGCACCAAAAUAUGUGAGGCAAAAAUUGAUGGAACCGCAAGGUGAAAUAGAUUAUCUACUAUUAUAGUUACAGACUUUAACAUCCCUUGAUCAGUAAUAGACUGAUCCAGCAGGACAAAAAUCAAUAAGGACAUAGUUGAACCAAGAGCACCAUCAAAUAGGUCUAAUUGACAUCUACAGACUACUUCAUCCAACAACAGCAGGAUACACAUUCUUCUCAAGCUCACAUGGAACAUUCAUUGAGGCAGACAACAUUCUUUGGGAGGCUACGGUGGGCAGAUCACCUGAAGUCAGGAGUUCGAGACCAGCCUGGCCAACAUGGUGAAACCCCGUCUCUACUGAAAAUACAAAAAAUCAACCAGGCGUGAUGGUGGGCACCUGUAAUCCCAGCUACUCAGGAGGCUGAGGCAUGAGAAUUGCUUUAACCUGGGAGGCGGAGGUUGUAGUGAGCCAAGAUCACACCAUUGCACUCCAGCCUGGGUGACAAAGUGAGACUCCGUCUCAAAAAAUAAAUAGAUAAAUAAAUAAAUAAAAUAAAUAAAUGUGAUUCAUCACAUAAAUAGAACUAAAGACAAAAACCACAUGAUUAUUUCAAUAGAUUCAAUAGAUACAGAGCAGAAAAGGCUUUUGAUAAAAUUCAACACCCUUUCAUGUUAAAAACUCUGAACAAAUUAGGUAUUGAAGUAAUAUACCUCAAAAUAAGAGUCAUCUAUGACAGACCAACAGCCAAAAUCACAUCAAAAGGGCAAAAGCUGGAAGCAUUCCCCUUGAAAACUGGCACAAGACAAGGAUGCUCUCUCUCACCACUCCUAUUCAACAUAGUGUUGGAAGUCCUGGCUAGGGCAAUCAGGCAAAAGAAAGAAAUAAAGAG
rnacentral:lncRNA from 10 species